rnacentral:rRNA from 1 species
UUAAGUUAUUAAGGGCGCACGGUGGAUGCCUUGGCACUAGAAGCCGAUGAAGGACGUUACUAACGACGAUAUGCUUUGGGGAGCUGUAAGUAAGCUUUGAUCCAGAGAUUUCCGAAUGGGGAAACCUAGCAUGAGUUAUGUCAUGUUAUCGAUAUGUGAAUACAUAGCAUAUCAGAAGGCACACCCGGAGAACUGAAACAUCUUAGUACCCGGAGGAAGAGAAAGAAAAUUCGAUUCCCUUAGUAGCGGCGAGCGAAACGGGAAGAGCCCAAACCAACAAGCUUGCUUGUUGGGGUUGUAGGACACUCUAUACGGAGUUACAAAGGACGACAUUAGACGAAUCAUCUGGAAAGAUGAAUCAAAGAAGGUAAUAAUCCUGUAGUCGAAAAUGUUGUCUCUCUUGAGUGGAUCCUGAGUACGACGGAGCACGUGAAAUUCCGUCGGAAUCUGGGAGGACCAUCUCCUAAGGCUAAAUACUCUCUAGUGACCGAUAGUGAACCAGUACCGUGAGGGAAAGGUGAAAAGCACCCCGGAAGGGGAGUGAAAUAGAACCUGAAACCGUGUGCUUACAAGUAGUCAGAGCCCGUUAAUGGGUGAUGGCGUGCCUUUUGUAGAAUGAACCGGCGAGUUACGAUUUGAUGCAAGGUUAAGCAGUAAAUGUGGAGCCGUAGCGAAAGCGAGUCUGAAUAGGGCGUUUAGUAUUUGGUCGUAGACCCGAAACCAGGUGAUCUACCCUUGGUCAGGUUGAAGUUCAGGUAACACUGAAUGGAGGACCGAACCGACUUACGUUGAAAAGUGAGCGGAUGAACUGAGGGUAGCGGAGAAAUUCCAAUCGAACCUGGAGAUAGCUGGUUCUCUCCGAAAUAGCUUUAGGGCUAGCCUCAAGUGAUGAUUAUUGGAGGUAGAGCACUGUUUGGACGAGGGGCCCCUCUCGGGUUACCGAAUUCAGACAAACUCCGAAUGCCAAUUAAUUUAACUUGGGAGUCAGAACAUGGGUGAUAAGGUCCGUGUUCGAAAGGGAAACAGCCCAGACCACCAGCUAAGGUCCCAAAAUAUAUGUUAAGUGGAAAAGGAUGUGGCGUUGCCCAGACAACUAGGAUGUUGGCUUAGAAGCAGCCAUCAUUUAAAGAGUGCGUAAUAGCUCACUAGUCGAGUGACACUGCGCCGAAAAUGUACCGGGGCUAAACAUAUUACCGAAGCUGUGGAUUGUCCUUUGGACAAUGGUAGGAGAGCGUUCUAAGGGCGUUGAAGCAUGAUCGUAAGGACAUGUGGAGCGCUUAGAAGUGAGAAUGCCGGUGUGAGUAGCGAAAGACGGGUGAGAAUCCCGUCCACCGAUUGACUAAGGUUUCCAGAGGAAGGCUCGUCCGCUCUGGGUUAGUCGGGUCCUAAGCUGAGGCCGACAGGCGUAGGCGAUGGAUAACAGGUUGAUAUUCCUGUACCACCUAUAAUCGUUUUAAUCGAUGGGGGGACGCAGUAGGAUAGGCGAAGCGUGCGAUUGGAUUGCACGUCUAAGCAGUAAGGCUGAGUAUUAGGCAAAUCCGGUACUCGUUAAGGCUGAGCUGUGAUGGGGAGAAGACAUUGUGUCUUCGAGUCGUUGAUUUCACACUGCCGAGAAAAGCCUCUAGAUAGAAAAUAGGUGCCCGUACCGCAAACCGACACAGGUAGUCAAGAUGAGAAUUCUAAGGUGAGCGAGCGAACUCUCGUUAAGGAACUCGGCAAAAUGACCCCGUAACUUCGGGAGAAGGGGUGCUCUUUAGGGUUAACGCCCAGAAGAGCCGCAGUGAAUAGGCCCAAGCGACUGUUUAUCAAAAACACAGGUCUCUGCUAAACCGUAAGGUGAUGUAUAGGGGCUGACGCCUGCCCGGUGCUGGAAGGUUAAGAGGAGUGGUUAGCUUCUGCGAAGCUACGAAUCGAAGCCCCAGUAAACGGCGGCCGUAACUAUAACGGUCCUAAGGUAGCGAAAUUCCUUGUCGGGUAAGUUCCGACCCGCACGAAAGGCGUAACGAUUUGGGCACUGUCUCAACGAGAGACUCGGUGAAAUCAUAGUACCUGUGAAGAUGCAGGUUACCCGCGACAGGACGGAAAGACCCCGUGGAGCUUUACUGUAGCCUGAUAUUGAAAUUCGGCACAGCUUGUACAGGAUAGGUAGGA